rfam:Acetobacter indonesiensis 5H-1 DNA, contig: Abin_006.
GCGCCGGGCCCUCGUGAUUUGUAAGGCCGGCUUGCGGCGAGGUAAAACAAACGCGCUAAAGAGGCUUUGGGCAGGCGUAC